CAGUCCAAGAGCGAGCUGCUGUGCUGACCUGGGGCAUAGGGUUUGAGAGGUGACCCACACUGCUCCCUGGCAGGUCCUGCCUGGGGGGACACAUGUAACAUCCAACACACAGGUACCUCUACAGACUUCAAGGACCAAGGAGGUGCCCCUCACGAAGAGGAACUGGCUCUCACCCCUUCCAUUUUCUCUUCAAGCGGCAGGCCCAGCCCCUGGGAUGUCCAACGGCUCCCUGAGGGCCCUGAGGCUGCUGAGAACUGACGGAGUAAGGCACUCACUCUCACCCCCUUUGGACAGACUGGCAAGUCCACUAUGCACCCUAGACAGUGAGGGGUUAAGAACAAUUUCUGAUUGCAAUUGGAUGACUUCCUGGAUCACUCACUUGGCUGUUGGCCCCUGACACACAGGGCUCUGCCUGGCAACAGCCAAUUCCCUUUCCAUCUCACCCUCAGGUCAUUUUCCUUAAGUGAAACAAAUGCAUGGAAAGCUCCCUGAGUCACGCGGCGGGGGAUUUUUCUGAGUUAAAUGAACUGAAGCCUCAGAGGCCUAGCACCACCCAGCCUCCUUUCCUGGAAAACAGAUUCCCAUUCCCAAAUAGACAUGACAGGGGCUGGGGGAGCUUCAGGACAGACCAAAAAAUAAUGACAGCGCCUCCCACCUAGGGUGGGUGAGGAUGACCUGAGAUGUGACACCUGACAAGGCGCUGCAGUUACCAAGGCUCAAGGGACGGCAGCUCAUUCUCAGUAAUUCCUCAGCUAGGAGGCGCAGCCCGGGACGUCACAGCUGAGCACGUCAGCCACAGGAGAGCCACUGCAGUGACCCACGCUCCGUUGGUCAUACCACGCAUUAACGGCAUGAGUAGCUGGCUCUGAAUUUGUAGAAAGAUAUAACCCCUUUCUUCCCAAAGAAGUCUGUGGUUUAGGCCUAAAAAAUGUGUUACACUGUCGUUCCCACUCCUUCAGCCAACCUCUCCUCCCUGAGGCCCAGUUCUGUGAAGGGGACAUGGACUCCAAGGGCUGGCCACCCCAGGCAUCUAUCAGGACAGCGGUCACCCGGCACUUCCUCCCACCGUGCAGCCACUGCAGAAACGGCUGGAGCUGCCCACGGACAAGUAUGCAGCCCCUCAGGAAGGCAAGAACAUUCUAAGGGACUUCCAAGAGGAAUGUAACUCGGUCUCACUAGCCAGCGGAAGAUUUCCUAGGAGAAACACUCAGAAGGCCCCGGAAGAGAAAUGAAUGAAAGAUAAUACAACACCCAGGAAGUAAGAUAAUUUUUAAAAGAGGGCACUUUGGCAGUGGUGAAGCAGGUGAAACGGUCGAAUACAACGCCUGUCGUUUCAAAGAAAAGUUCCCGUAAAGCUGAUACGACACGUCCAGGUUGAUCGGCAAUCCCACCUCCUCUUUCUACCCAACAAGCCGAGCCAGUUCUAGGCCGAGACGAAGGGAUUCCGGGACACUUCAAAGGGCUUCUGCGCAUCCUGAGCCCUCAGUCGCUCCAGCCCGGUCUCGGCCCCGCACCGCGCUCCUCCAGCUGCCUCACAGCCCGAAGCGGGGCGGCCCAGGCGGGAAGCGGGUUCCCGGACAACCGCCCUGGAAAGGCCAGGCUCCGGGCGGACGCCUCAGGGGGUCCGAAGCAGGGGUACUGGAGCGGUCACCGGGAGAGUCGGGGCGUGCCACCACGUCCCCUCGCGGAUCUUUCCUCGCCUGCCCUUCCAAGUUUCUGCUGAGUCCGGUUCAAUCAGUCCCCCGGCCAUAGCCACCGCGGCACAGGCCUUCCCCCUUCUCUACCACGCGACCGACCGGGCCCACCUCGGCUCCCCGGGCUCAGUCCAGUACCUGCACGUCUUCAUUGCGGAGCUCGUCGAUUAAAACCGCGACAGGGUAUAGCGAAUCGUCUCCACCUCCGCCGGCUGCUCCCGGGCAGGUCCCGGGCCCCGCUGCGCCCGCCAUGUUCUUUCUCCUCCUACUGCUGGUCACCGCCUCCCGCCCCGCGCCCAGGCCCCGCCCCGCGCCCAGCCCCCGCCCCGCUCCCAGGCCCCGCCCCGCGCCCUGGCAGGAGGGACUAAAGCUGCCACGCGAGUUGAGCCGAGGUUGAGGAGCUGAGUUUCUGUCCCGAUGAUUAAGGCUCCCUUCCGACCCCCAAUGCAGGAGUUGUAGGUCUGAACUCAAGAAGAUGGGUGGACUGAGAAAGCGAAUGGAACCCCUGCGUCCUUUCCCUAGCCGAAAGAAACAGGGACAGUGAUUCAUCCGGCUCGUCUGAAGGGGCCAGGGACCUACCUGGGUGAUCCGCGCUGUGCCCUCUUAAGACUCAGGCGGACCAAAGAGAGUGCCCGAGGCCAGGAGGAAGAAGGCUUUAGCACCUCCCCUGACUGCAUCCUGGCACUGAGCCACAGGAUCUCCAGCCCUAAUUACUCAGCUCAGCCUCAAGCUUCCACAGAACCCCUCCACCUCUUCCCUCGGCCUGUUCUCCAGAAUGGUAUCUGGCUCCUGCUCCAUAAGACAAAUAACGCGGGCGGUGAGAGAAAAUGAACAGUGCUGUCCAAACUCCCCAGUCAAUAUUUUUUCCACGCAAGCUGUUAAAAACAUGCUGCUCUCUUGUUUUUGUGUUUCUUUUCAGUUUGGUACUGGAAUGGUGCCUUCUGUUGUAUUUUCUUCCUCCCAUUUUUCAGCUCUUUAGCAUGCUAGAAGUACAACAAUGAAGCAAAACUAGGACAAGCUUUAAUCCUUCCAAACUGGGUGGGGUGGCUACUUUGCUUGAAUAAGAAAACCCAGACUGGCCUCCCUAAACCCCCAAGAGUCCUCAGAGGCAGCAAGGGGAAGAAGUGGAGAUCUGGGAGCUCCUUCUUACAAAACUGAAUGGCAAGUUUUCACCUACCCGUGUCAGGGCAGCACAGAAUAACUAGAAUGUCCUUUUUGUUUGUUUUAGACUGGAAUUUAAGCAGCUUGGAGUGAUAACUACAUAUGGUGAUCGCAAGUCCUGAAAUGGUAAUUCUAUGUGCCUGAUUAAUAAAAUUAAAACUAUUAA